rnacentral:rRNA from 1 species
UACGUAGGGGGCAAGCGUUGUCCGGAUUUAUUGGGCGUAAAGAGCGUGUAGGCGGCUUGGUAGGUCUCGCGUCAAAACCUGAGGCUCAACCUCAGUUCGCGUGGGAAACCACCUAGCUAGAGUCCGGAAGAGGAGAACGGAAUUCCUGGUGUAGCGGUGAAAUGCGCAGAUAUCAGGAGGAACACCGGUGGCGAAGGCGGGUCUCUGGGCCGAUAUUGACGCUGAGGAGCGAAAGCGUGGGGAGCAAACAGG